rnacentral:rRNA from 1 species
CUAAGCGGAGGAAAAGAAACCAACAGGGAUUGCCUCAGUAACGGCGAGUGAAGCGGCAAAAGCUCAAAUUUGAAAUCCCCCGGGAAUUGUAAUUUGAAGAGAUUUGGGUCCGGCCGGCAGGGGUUAAGUCCACUGGAAAGUGGCGCCACAGAGGGUGACAGCCCCGUGAACCCCUUCAACGCCCUCAUCCCAGAUCUCCAAGAGUCGAGUUGUUUGGGAAUGCAGCUCUAAGUGGGUGGUAAAUUCCAUCUAAAGCUAAAUACCGGCGAGAGACCGAUAGCGAACAAGUACAGUGAUGGAAAGAUGAAAAGCACUUUGAAAAGAGAGUGAAAAAGUACGUGAAAUUGUUGAAAGGGAAGGGCUUGCAAGCAGACACUUAACUGGGCCAGCAUCGGGGCGGCGGGGAGCAAAACCACCGGGGAAUGUACCUUUCGAGGAUUAUAACCCCGGUCCUUACUCCCUCACCAUCCCGAGGCCUGCAAUCUAAGGAUGCUGGCGUAAUGGUUGCAAGUCGCCCGUC